ACGGGGUGCAGCAGGCGCGAAAACUUUACAAUGCAGGAAACUGUGAUAAGGGAACCCCGAGUGCCCGUACACGCGGGCUGUCCCGGUGUUUAAAACACAUCGGAAGAAAGGGCCGGGCAAGACCGGUGCCAGCCGCCGCGGUAAUACCGGCGGCUCGAGUGGUGACCACUUUUAUUGGGCUUAAAGCGUUCGUAGCUUGAUUUUUAAGUCUCUUGGGAAAUCUCACGGCUUAACUGUGAGGCGUCUAAGAGAUACUGGGAAUCUAGGGACCGGGAGAGGUAAGAGGUACUUCAGGGGUAGAAGUGAAAUUCUGUAAUCCUUGAGGGACCACCGAUGGCGAAGGCAUCUUACCAGAACGGCUUCGACAGUGAGGAACGAAAGCUGGGGGAGCGAACGGGAUUAGAUACCCCGGUAGUCCCAGCCGUAAACUAUGCGCGUUAGGUGUGCCUGUAACUACGAGUUACCGGGGUGCCGAAGUGAAAACGUGAAACGUGCCGCCUGGGAAGUACGGUCGCAAGGCUGAAACUUAAAGGAAUUGGCGGGGGAGCACCGCAACGGGUGGAGCCUGCGGUUUAAUUGGACUCAACGCCGGGCAGCUCACCGGAUAGGACAGCGGAAUGAUAGCCGGGCUGAAGACCUUGCUUGACCAGCUGAGAGGAGGUGCAUGGCCGUCGUCAGUUCGUACUGUGAAGCAUCCUGUUUAGUCAGGCAACGAGCGAGACCCACGCCAACAGUUGCUAGCAUGUUCUCCGGAAUGAUGAGGACACUGUUGGGACCGCCUCUGCUAAAGAGGAGGAAGGAAUGGGCAACGGUAGGUCAGCAUGCCCCGAAUUAUCCGGGCUACACGCGGGCUACAAUGGUCAGGACAAUGGGAAACGGCACUGAAAAGUGUAGUCAAUCUCCUAAACCUGUCCCAAGUUCGGAUUGUGGGCUGCAACUCGCCCACAUGAAGCUGGAAUCCGUAGUAAUCGCGUUUCAAAAUAGCGCGGUGAAUAAGUCCCUGCUCCUUGCACACACCGCCCGUCAAACCAUCUUAGUGAGGUUUGGAUGAGGCUGUGGUUAACUGCCACAGUCGAAUCUAGGUUUCGCAAGGAGGGUUAAGUCGUAACAAGGUAACC
rnacentral:rRNA from 1 species